rnacentral:tRNA from 1 species
GCCUCAGAAGUCUAAUCGGUUAGCACAGCAGGCCGGAUAUCUGGAGAUGCGGGUUGUAGUCCCGCCUGAGGUU